CACACGGGAGGGGGGAGGGAAAAAGAAGAAGGGGUAGGGAAGAAGAAGGGAAAAAAAGGAAGAGAGGGAAAAGAGGGACAGCGCUGGCGAGGUUUAGAGCCGCCGUCGCCAUCGGGAAUAAGAACCAGAAGGAGAGAGAGCUCGCUAGGGAGAGAGGAGACGUGACUUCAUCGAACUCACCAAGAAGGUCCAUCUCCUCUGCGACAACCUUUGCUUCAUCAUCCGCGCCGCCACUGUCCAACCCUUAAUGAGCGUUCCCUUAACCGCACUCUCACCCUUCUACGCCGUUGCUACCACAACGACGAUGUCCUCGACCAAGUCUUUACCAUCACCACCACCGCUGAUUUUCUCAAGGAGAGGAUCAGAAUAAGAGUAAUGUUGCAAAUAAGAGAAUGAGUGUGACGAACCUAACCCUAGUUUUCUGCUGCCGUUCAUCUUCUCACCACCGCUCAGCUCUAAGUUGCCGUAAGCAACAUUAUCAUUGUUGUUGCCUUUCUACGGAGGUUCUAGAUCUGCUUCUCUGGCUUCGAUUUGAGGUUUUAUCGCCGUCGUUCAUCUCCGCCGCCAUUCAUUUGCUCGGCACCGCUCAGCUCCAAGUUGCCGUAAGCAACGUUAUCGUUGUUGCUGCCUUUGGCGAAGGUUAUAGAUCUGCUUCUCUGGCUUCGAUUUCAGGUUUUUAUCGACGUUCAUCUCCUCGCUGCCGUUCAUCUGCUCGUCGCCGUUCAUCUCCUCACCGCCGCAAGCAACAGCGUUGAUGUUGCCUUCGGUGGAGCUUCUGCGAUCUAAUUUUUUGCUUUGAUUUGAGGGUUUGCUUUCUGUUCACAACCAUUCAUCAUCUCCUCGCUACCGCAAGCGACGCCGUUGUUUCUCUCUCUGGAGGAGCUUCUGAGAUCUAGUCCUUUGGCUUCAAUUUGCAGAUUCAAUCUGGUUCUCUAGCUGUGAAGCUAUUGUUGCUGCCUCCAACUAAGCUUGUAUGAUUUGGUUCUACCAUCCAUAUCAAUUCACAGUAAUCUACUUCAUCUUCUUUUUUUGAUUUUCCUCCUCCAUACGAUUAAAAUAGUGUUAACUAAUUUAAAUUACAUGAUUAAUGUGCAAUUAAUUGAUGAUUACCUUACGAAUAACUAAACACCAAAGCGAUUACGCAAGUGAUCGUUGAAGAGAAUUAAUUAUUUAAUUAAUUAAUUAAAGAAAUUAUGGCGGAGGAAAUUAGAUUCUUCGAGCUGAACACAGGUGCCAAGAUACCUUCUGUUGGAUUAGGAACUUUUCAGGCUGAAAAUCCAGGAGCCUUGGCCAAAGCAGCUACCACCGCUAUCAAGGUUGGAUACGGACAUAUCGAUUGUGCUUCAUCUUACGGCAAUCAAGUAGAGUUAAUAAUCAUUAGUUUACUGAAUGAUUAUGAAUUUAUGAUCUUACCUCUUACUUGCAUAUGUUCUGUUAUUUAUAGAUUUUUGACUUAUUCUUAAUUUUUGCUUAUGUUAGCUGGUGAAUUUGUUUAUCUUUGGUAAAGUGAAGUGCUCGAUGUGUUUGUUAAUUAAUGUUUGCUAGUAAACUUCUUGCUUUGAAAAUAAAAAUAAAAUAAAAUUGGAAUCUUGGUCUCUGUAGAUUGGUUCUGUUCUCAAGAAGCUUUUUGAUAAGUUGAGAUCUCAAUAGCUUGACAUACAUUAUUCAAUUCCAAAGGUAGUUACUGCUAUAUUCUUCCUUUGUCAGUUUCUUUGUGUUCCAAGUUCUUUUGCUUUGCUUAUAGUUUUAUCUUUAGUUGAUGGCAUUUUAGACAAUGCUCCAAAAAAGGAUAUUUGGUCAUGGUGGUGUGAUGAUAUCUGGUCUUGAUUCAUCUGUUUCAAAUGACGAACUUAAGCAUAUUUUUGGAUUAUAUGGAGAAAUUAAAGAAGUAAGUUUUAAUUCUGAUUUUUCACCUUUUUUGCAUCAUGUGUCUUACCAAGAAUUAUUUUGGCAUUAGUAAUUAUUGUGUAAUGGCAAAUCUAUGAAUCUCUUGAAGUGAAUAUUAAGCAAACGUGAUAUGGUAACCAAUGGUUGUAUAUAUACAUAAAUCCAAUAAUCAUACUAAAAAAGUAGUCCACCCUACUUAUCAUAUUCAUGUAGAUCAUGGAAUAUAUGCGUGUAGUAAGAACAAUCAAAUUCAAAAAGGAUAGAAUCUUCACUCUCCAGCUUUAUUGCAACUACCAAAUUCUUCAAAGCCUUCCAGGACACUACUCUUAAUUAGGGGGGAGGGCUUUAAUUAGGGCUCCUAAAAUAAAGAUUGUAUUCUUAACUAACAUUAAUUUAGGAAAUCAUAAUUAAAUUGUUCAGUUUGAUUCUUAUUAUUAGUAAACCUAAUGAAUUUGCCUUUUUUUAUUAUUAGUUUAAUGAUCAACAAUUACUUACCCAUAUUGAUAUUUGAUCUAUGAUCGAUUUUGGAAAUGAUGAUCAUAGCCUACCCUAUAAUUUUAGUUAAGGUUGCUAGAAUAAUAAAAAUGCAUUAUAUUAUAACAAGUUCCUAAUUCAUGUCAUGAUAAAUUCCUUACCUGUAUAAUUUUGUAUCUUGUGCGUGCCACAUUUAUUUUUAUUAUUAUAUCCUUAAAAUAAAUAAAUAUAAUAUUUAUAAUGAGUAGUAUAGUCAUACACUUAAGUUUGGAAUCAUUCGUACCCAAAUUUGAAGCUAACCUUGCUCAGUUCUGUGAAAAAUUGGUAAGCUACCUACAUGUUUCUUGACAGUCAAUUAAGUUUAUUCUCUUCUAUAUGUUAAUGAAUAAUUUCAAUUUUUAUAAUUACAGGUAAUGGACUUGGAUAGAAGAGUAAGACGUGGGCAAGAACGCCUUGCUCAAGAGGCUGCCAAAGAGAAGGCUGUUGAAGAAGAGUGAAGGAAACAGAAGGAGAAGGAUCAUGAGAGAAGACUAUACAAUCUCCAAAAAAGGGUUGAGGUAGGUAUUUUACUGUUGUAAUUUUUUCCUCUUGCAUGAUUGAACUCUGAAAGUGUAGUCCAGUCUUUCCUAAAUAUAUCUGUCAUGGUUGAGAGAGGUAUAUUGGGUUUGAAAUUGCAGCAGAACCAUUUGAGAGCCCUCCAUUUCCCUUAGCUGCAGAGAGAACAAGAAGAAAAGACCCUCUUGAUGGCUUCUAUCAUUCUCUACAGAACAAGAAUCUCUUACUUCAUUAAGGAUGCAAUUCCAUUGAGCCAGCAAUUGGAACACUACAAAGAAUGUCAGAAUAUAUUGGUGGAAGUAGCAGGACAAUCAAAUGCUUCAUCAAUCAUAUCUGGUGCUACACAUCUUGUUAGUGCUGGCAACAGUGACUUCAUUCAGAAUUAUUACAUAAACCCUCUGCUUAACAAGGUUUACACUGCUGAUCAGUUCUCUGAAAUUCUCAUGCAACACUAUUUUCAUUGGAUUAUUGAUAUUCAUCUUUAUACCCUAAAUAUUAUAUAAAAACAAAAAAAAUGAAUAUAUAAUAGAGUCCCGUUAUUAUUAUGUCCUUAA